rnacentral:rRNA from 1 species
UACGAAGGGGGCUAGCGUUGUUCGGAUUUACUGGGCGUAAAGCGCACGUAGGCGGAUCGUUAAGUCGGGGGUGAAAUCCUGGAGCUCAACUCCAGAACUGCCCUCGAUACUGGCAAUCUCGAGUCCGGGAGAGGUGAGUGGAACUGCGAGUGUAGAGGUGAAAUUCGUAGAUAUUCGCAAGAACACCAGUGGCGAAGGCGGCUCACUGGCCCGGUACUGACGCUGAGGUGCGAAAGCGUGGGGAGCAAACAGG